AGAGUUUGAUCAUGGCUCAGGACGAACGCUGGCGGCGUGCUUAACACAUGCAAGUGGAGCGACGAACCGGGCUUCGGCCCGGGGCAGAGCCGCGAACGGGUGAGUAACACGCGGGUAACCUACCCCGAUGACCGGGACAACCCGAGGAAACUCGGGCUAAUACCGGAUGUUCUCGUUUUCCGCAAGGAAACCGAGCAAAGAUAGCUUCGGCCUUCGCAUCGGGACGGGCCCGCGGCCCAUUAGCUUGUUGGUGGGGUAACGGCCUACCAAGGCGACGAUGGGUAGCUGGUCUGAGAGGACGAUCAGCCACACUGGGACUGAGACACGGCCCAGACUCCUACGGGAGGCAGCAGUGGGGAAUCUUGCGCAAUGCGCGAAAGCGUGACGCAGCAACGCCGCGUGGGGGAAGACGGCCUUCGGGUUGUAAACCCCUUUCAGUUGGGACGAAGCUUCGUCGGUUAAUAGCCGGCUGGAGUGACGGUACCUUCAGAAGAAGCCCCGGCUAACUACGUGCCAGCAGCCGCGGUAAUACGUAGGGGGCUAGCGUUGUCCGGAAUCAUUGGGCGUAAAGCGCGUGUAGGCGGCCCGGUAAGUCCGCUGUGAAAGUCGGGGGCUCAACCCUCGGAUGCCGGUGGAUACUGUCGGGCUCGAGUACGGAAGAGGCGAGUGGAAUUCCUGGUGUAGCGGUGAAAUGCGCAGAUAUCAGGAGGAACACCAAUUGCGAAGGCAGCUCGCUGGGACGUUACUGACGCUGAGACGCGAAAGCGUGGGGAGCAAACAGGAUUAGAUACCCUAGUAGUCC
rnacentral:rRNA from 1 species